GACAGAGGGUGCAAACGUUGCUCGGAAUUACUGGGCGUAAAGGGCGCGUAGGCGGAUUUGGAAGUCGGGUGUGAAAUCCCUGGGCUCAACCUAGGAACUGCAUUCGAAACUCCAAGUCUAGAGUGACGGAGAGGAAAGCGGAAUUCCCGGUGUAGAGGUGAAAUUCGUAGAUAUCGGGAGGAACACCAGAGGCGAAGGCGGCUUUCUGGACGUCUACUGACGCUGAGGCGCGAAAGCGUGGGGGGCAAACAGGAUUAGAUACCCCGGUAGUCCCUGAGCGGG
rnacentral:rRNA from 1 species